rnacentral:rRNA from 1 species
AACGAACGCUGGCGGCAUGCCUAACACAUGCAAGUCGUACGGGACCUUCGGGUCUCGUGGCGCUCGGGUGCGUAACGCGUGGGAACCUGCCCUUAGGUUCGGAAUACCUCCCCGUCGGGGGUGCUAAUACCGGAUAAUGUCUUCGGACCAAAGAUUUCUCGCGUUUGGGUGGGCCGGCGUUGGUUUAGCUAGUGGGUAGUGGAAAAGCCUACCAAGGGGACGAUCCAUAGCUGGGGUGAGAGGAGGACUCCCCACACUGGGGCUAAGACACAGACCAGACUCCUAGGCAAGGGAGCAGAGGGUAAUAUAGGACAAUGGGCUAAAGCCCGAUCACGCAACGCCGGGUGAGUCAUGAAGGCCUUAGGGUUGUAAAGCUCUUUGACCCGGGACGAUAAUGACAGUACCGGGAGAAUAAGCUCCGGCUAACUACGUG